rnacentral:misc_RNA from 1 species
ACAGUUAGGGGGUUAGUCUGUGUUGGAACGCGGGUGAGAGCGGACUGUUGCGAGAUCUGCGCGCGCAGGAUUCAGCGCGGGGAGUUCGACGUGGUUGUAAACGUCGACUCUGAUUACCUUUUGGAUUUUCGUUUCGUUGGUUGUGGUGUCACUUCAGUGUCUUUGAGUGUGUCGUUUUUUUACCUUUUUGUGAGGCGGUGAAGAGUACCGUCUUUAAUCAUUUCCCCUUCAAACCCUCUGAAUUAAGAUAAAAAUGAAAUCACCUACCAUGGCCUCUCUAACCUCGUGGACGGUGUUGCUCGUGGCGGGAUGUUGCUCGGCUUUCAACAUCGACAUCGGGAACCACAUGAUGUAUUUCAGCAACCAGACCGACUCCAUGUUUGGCUUUGCGGUGGCACAGCACAAGUACAGAGGACAAAAUCGGUUACUGGUGGGCGCUCCUCGCUUCGAGACGGACCAGCGGCAGCGAGGUGUGUCGAGGGCGGGGGCGGUGCUGCAGUGCUACCCCGAAGUGGCCGACCGCUGCGACUACGUGCCCUUCGACAGGAAUGGUAACAACGUUCACCCUCUCGGACAGCAGCUGGACAGCAAGAGCAACCAGUGGUUCGGCGCCACCGUCAGGAGUUCGGGCGACGAUGGGGUCGUGGUGGCCUGCGCCCCUCGCUACGUGUGGUACACAGAGAACCUGAAGAAGAGAGAGCCCGUCGGGACCUGCUACGUGGCUCGUCAAGGACUCACCGACUUCCAGGAGUUCUCACCCUGCAGGACCCGUUACUGGGGCUACCAUCGUCAAGGGUCCUGUCAGGCUGGCUUCGACGCUGUCAUUAGCAAGGAUGGAGAACGCAUGUUCAUCGGAGCUCCGGGGGCGUUCUACUGGCAGGGUCAGAUCCACUCUCAGAGCCUCAGCACCAGGAACGACUACCAGAUGACCUGGGAGGGACCUGCGAGCGACGACGACCAGUACCUAGGAUACUCGGUGGCCGUCGGGGAUUUCACAGGAGACGGGCAGGAGGACGUGGCUCUGGGUGUGCCGAAGGGCCUCAAUUACACCGGAAAGAUCGCGCUCUACACACACAACCUGACGCCCCUGCACAACAUCAGCGGCUACCAGCUGGGGGCCUACUUCGGCUACUGUUUGGCCGUCGUGGAUUUCAACAACGACGGCCUGGACGACAUCCUCGUGGGCUCGCCGAUGUACACCAACUACAACGACCGAGAGAUGAAGUACGAGGUCGGCAGAGUCCACGUCCUCCUUCAGAAUGUCCAACACCGGUUCCGGCAGGUCGUGACCUACACGGGCGAGGUCAGCAAGGGGAGGUUCGGCCUCUCCAUCACCGGCCUCGGGGACGUCAACAAAGAUGGUUUCCAAGACAUCGCCGUCGGAGCUCCCUAUGGUGGCGAGGACGGGAAUGGCGCUGUGUUCAUCUACCACGGGUUUAGGAUCAGGAGCGGCGAACUCAUUGCUGAGGAACUCAAGAAACCCGCACAGGUCAUCUAUGCACGUGACGUGACCCCAGGACCAGGUCCGCCCAUCGCCACCUUUGGCUGGUCCCUCUCAGGCGGACAGGACAUGGACAACAACCUGUAUCCCGACCUGCUGGUGGGGGCUUACCUAUCCAGCUCGGCUGUCCUGCUGAGGACCCGGCCCGUCGUGUCUCUGUUCAACCACAGCCUCAGCUUCCUGUCGGAGGGCAAGACCAUUGACAUCGAGUCGGCGAGUCUGGAGGAGGGCGGGUGCCUGGUUUCUGGUCAGGUCAUGCCCUGCGUCAUGCUGCAGUUCUGCAUCGGUUACGCCGGACCCGGAGUGCCUUCAGACCUGGAACUCGACGUGGAGUAUCUGCUGGAUAACAAACUGAGCGAGUCGCGACUCUUCUUCUUCGACUCCAAUCGGCGCGUCCACAGCGAGCGAGUCCGCCUCGAGAAAGAGAUUGACGACUGCAGGAGCCACCGCGUCUACGUCACGCCCACCCUGACGGACAAGCUGACCCCGAUGUCAGCCGAAGUCAACUUCUCCCUCGUGCAAGAAGCGACCCGACGCCGCCGCUACCGCCGCUCCCUCGCGCCCAUCCUCAACCAGCGGCAAAAGCUCUCACUCUCCGACUCCAUCACCAUCCAGAAGAACUGCGGCAGGGACAACGUGUGCUACCCAGACCUCAUCCUCACCGUCAAUGCGCCCGACACCUUCGUGUUUGGCAAGAAGGAGCAGCUGGAGGUGGACGUGCGCGUGGUGAACGACGGCGAGGACGCCUUCGAAGCGCGGGUGUUCAUUCCCAUCCCCCAAGGGCUCCUCUACAACAAGUUCGUGGCGAAGGACAACACCACCGUCGUCUGCUCCCCGAGGCCCGUGGACUCUAGUAUCAUUCUCGUGUGCGAAAUCGGCAACCCUCUGCCCAUGCACAAGGGCGUACACUUCGUGGUGUUAUUCCAGCAAUCUGGGCUGAUGGAGGAGCCGCGCUUCAAGUUCCAGGUGACCACCAACAGCACCAACAACGAGGAUUCUCACACGAAUGCCGAUAACACGGUUCGCAAGACUGUCCAGGUGGACGUCGACACGAAACUUAGCCUUUACGGAACGUCCGACCCCGAGAGGAUUGACUACAACCGAAGCCUCUACGCGUACAAGUCCAAGCUGCACGAGGAGCACCUUGGGCCUCAGAUCACACACAAGUACGGCAUCUCCAACACCGGCCCCUCAGACAUCUCGGAGACUGAGCUCGUUAUCCUCUGGCCCACCAGGACCCUCGGCGGGAACUACCUCUUGUAUCUGCUGGAACAACCCUACGUCACCGGGCCCGUUCGCUGCUCCCUUGUUCCCGACGUCAACCCUCUUGGUCUCACCCUGAUCGACCGGGAAUUGAACUUGGAGGUACUCAAGCUGCAGAGCCAGGAGGAGACGCAGGAGGUGUCGGAGGGACAGAGUUACUCCGGGUCCGUGGCCACGGGCGAGGCUUCGGCAGGAGGGGCCUCGGCAGGAGGAGCGUCGUCGAGUGGCGGGUCGUCCUACUCCACCUCGCAGACGACUCACUACUCCAGCAGCAGCGGUGGUGGUAGUGGUGGUAGUGGUGGUAGUGGCAGCAGCAGUUCGUCUUCAUCCUCGUCCUCGAGUCAUUCCUCAUCUUCCUCCACGAGAACCAGCUACAGCUCGUCCUCCUCUUCCUACGGGUAUUCCUCCUCCUCCUCCUCCUCCUCCUCAGACGACGAACACACCCGACGCAUCCGCCAAGCCGAGCCUGUCCUCGACUGGGACAAGGAGAUCAAUACGUGCGGCCCCACAGAAUGCACCAAGAUCCACUGCACCGUCGGGCCUCUGGGAGACGGCGACAUCCUGUACAUCUACGUGCGUUCGAGGCUCGUGCUGGACACCCUCAUCGAGGAUUCCUCGUACCCGUAUGACGACGUGAGCAUCACCAGCCGCAUGUUGGCCCGAGUGAAGAGCCUGCCUCAUGGCGUCAACCCAGAAUACCUGCCGAUACGGGACCUGGACGUCACGACGCACGUGUCGCCUGCGAAGUCCCUAGACGAAGCCCCGCCCAUCCCCUGGUGGGUCAUCGUCCUGGCCACGAUGGCGGGUGUACUCAUCCUCCUUAUCAUCAUUCUCGUCCUGUGGAAGCUGGGAUUCUUCAAGCGGAGACGGCCUCAGUGUGCCUCAGCCUAAACCUUUCUUUUAUUUCAUUUUGUCAACUUAUUCUUCCGCUAUUCAUUUCACAUGCGGCUACUUCAAGCGCCACCGGCCGGAGCACCGAGCGCGCAUCGCCGACGACGCCCAGCCGUUAAACCCUCCCAACGGUCAUAACGGUCACCCGUACAACCCCUACAGCCGUCCAUUUUACCCUGGAGACGAAGC